AAUGUCCUGUUUCAUAAGCUCAAAUAUAUUUUGAGGGCCUGUGUGGAAAGUUAUUCUUGUGGACUUAAAAAGGGAAAAUAUAUAGGAAAUAAUUUGCUGGUAAGUAUAGAUAUUUCAGAAGUAGAUCCCAUUUGGCUCAGUGGGCUUCCUCCCAGGAAAGUGAGACUAUGAUUAAAAUCUUUGGGAUUAAAACACAUCAAAUCUGUCUAAUUAAUCUGAGUCCUGAUGCCCUGGUAACUAGCUAGUAUGACUCUUGUGGGAGAAAGUAAACAUGGUAUCCACCUUGCAAAAGACAAAUGGAACUAAGUAAAUUCCAAUUAAAUGUGUGAGCAUUUUGGAGGCAGCUGGCGUAAUUUGAUGAAACCUUGUUAAAGGAGUUUCCAACUUUAUUACUUCACAUUUUGGCAAUGCUCAGAACUCUCAGUUCAUCAUAGAUGCCUUUUAAGAAAGUUUAUGAUGAAGAUCAAACAUUGGUCACAAAUUUCUAUCUCUGAUAUUAAUCCCCGAUGAACACUCAAUCAGACAGGAUGAAUAGAGACACAGAAGAUCAUGCAUGAACUAAAAGGACUGAAUUUGAAAGAGUUGCCUUUCAAUCUUAGCUAUCCCUGAGUUCCAUUAAAAAAAAUGAGCAAGUUAUCUUCCAGGCAUACAUUUCUGCAUGUAAAUAGUAAAACCUGGAUUUAUGCCCUCAAAAAGCACGUAUCAAUAUUGAUUGAUUUAUUAUAGUUUUUAUAAGUCACUCUGUCAAGACUUUGGUAGGGAACAAUACAAAAUAACAUGAAUUUUAGAAACAUCUCCCCAGAUGGACUCCAUUAGCAAUCAACUGGAUUUAAAACCUAAAUUUAAAACUGCCUUUCAAAAUGGGGGGGGGAGAUAGGUGCAUAUCCAGAGUACAGUAGAUUACAAAGUGUCAGGGUCACAACAGAAAACAUCUAUUCUCUGGUCUAUGGUCUAUGAUGGGUUAUUAUUAUUACUUCUUGAGAUAGGUGGAUUCAAUUCUGGCUGCUGGAAAAUUCUGGAAAAUCUCAAUUUCUUUCUUUGAUCUAUUUCUUGAUUUAAUUAUGAUGAUAAGUUAAACAUUAUUUUGGAUUAAACAGAAAAACCUCUGAAAGUCGACCAUGCAAGGGACUGAAGGAAAAUGGUCAACAUAUAAAGGUGGUCAAUAUACUGAACAACUAUACUGAUAUCCUUUGAUCUGCUGAUUUCAACUCCCAUAACUGUCAGUCAAGAUGCCCCAUCGAUUAUGGGAUCUAGUCUCUAAGACAUCUAAAGGGCAAAGGAAGGGUGAACUAAACAAAAAGGUCACAGGAUCAUCUCAUGAAUUAUCUCAGUACAAAUUAGGCUUCCCACUUAAGGGGUAUUGUUUUCUUUCCAAGACACUCUGGAGAGCUAAGGUCAGAUCCAAUGUGAAUGCUUGAGCUUCGGGUCCAAAGCUACAACAGCAAAAAAUCCUGUGGCAGGACCUAAAAGGGAAGUGGUGAAUGGGAAACGUAAACAAGCUCUUAAAUCAGCAUUUCUCAACGUUUGUGUGACGGCAACCCCCGUCACACGAACGUGCCACGCAUGCGUGACGCACAUGCCCGGCGCCAUCCCGAGGGGGGGGAAAUGGCGGAUCGCAUUGUUUGGCAAUCGACCCCAAAUGGGGGUCGCGACCCAUAGGUUAAGAACCGCUGUCUUAAAUUGAGUUGUUGAGCUCAGAGAAAGCAAACAAAUCCCACGUCUUCUCUGGAUCUUUUAUGUCUUUCUGUUUCACCAGGGAAAACAUCCCUUUAACAUUCUUCUGGGUUUGAAAGAAUCGUUCUCUGCACACGAAGAAACGUGACGAGCAAUACUGCUUUGAUGCAGGUGGGCGUGAGGGGCUUUGAACCAAUCUGCGCUACCCUGCCCCGCUCCGCCCCGGGGUAGCGAGUGAGUAAAACCUUCACGUGACGAGAAGGGCGUGUCAAUCGUCUUCCAGCCGCAGUAGUGGAAAAUUUUCGAACUAAGAGCUGCGCGCGCAACUAACAUCACCGCCGGGAGACUGUUAAAAGCCUGGGAUCAAAAGAAGUUACCUAUCCAGGUGGAAAUGGAAAAGAAGCGUGCACACCAAUUAUGUAAAGAGUGGUCUUUGCUCAGGGACAAAGCUGGAAAACCAAUUUGGCUAAAUAAAGGGAAAGUGAACAAAAGAAAAGGAAGAGGAAACUUGCUGAAGUUAAAGGCACCAUCAAACU